rnacentral:rRNA from 1 species
AGCAGCCGCGGUAAUUCCAGCUCCGAUAGCGUAUAUUAAAGUUGCUGCAGUUAAAAAGCUCGUAGUUGAAUUUCGGGAUCAAUAUGUUGGUCGUGCCUCGGUACGUACUGGCUUAUUGGUUUCUCCCUUCUGACGAACCAUGAUGUCAUUUAUUUGGUGUUAUGAGGAAUCAGGACUGUUACUUUGAAAAAAUUAGAGUGUUUAAAGCAGGCUCACGCUUGAAUACAUUAGCAUGGAAUAAUGAAAUAGGACGUUUGAUUCUAUUUUGUUGGUUUCUAGGAUCGACGUAAUGAUUAAUAGGGAUAGUUGGGGGCAUUAGUAUUCAAUUGUCAGAGGUGAAAUUCUUGGAUUUAUUGAAGACUAACUACUGCGAAAGCAUUUGCCAAGGAUGUUUUUCAUUAAUCAAGAACGAAAGUUAGGGGAUCGAAGACGAUCAGAUACCGUCGUAGUCUUAACCAUAAACUAUGCCGACUAGGGAUCGGAUGAUGUUAAUUUUUAAUGACUCAUUC